rnacentral:rRNA from 1 species
AUUCCAGACUCCUACGGGAGGCAGCAGUGGGGAAUAUUGCACAAUGGGGGGAACCCUGAUGCAGCGACGCCGCGUGGGUGAAGGAGUAUUUCGGUAUGUAAAUCACUAUCAGCAGGGAAGAACAAUGACGGUACCUGACUAAGAAGCACCGGCUAAAUACGUGCCAGCAGCCGCGGUAAUACGUAUGGUGCAAGCGUUAUCCGGAUUUACUGGGUGUAAAGGGAGCGCAGGCGUCGCGUUAAGCCUGGUGUGAAAGCCCGCGGCCCAACCGCGGGACUGCUCUUGGAACUGCGCGGCUGGAGUGCAGGAGGGGCAGGCGGAAUUCCUGGUGUAGCGGUGAAAUGCGUAGAUAUCAGGAGGAACACCAGUGGCGAAGGCGGCUUACUGGACAGUAACUGACGUUGAGGCUCGAAAGCGUGGGGAGCAAACAGGAUUAGAUACCCCGGUA